GUUGGACUGGAGCUUGAUAUUAAGCGUUUUAUUUACAUUAAAAGGUAGGUUGUGAAAUUCAACUUAGUCU
rnacentral:tRNA from 1 species